UACGUAGGUGGCAAGCGUUGUCCGGAUUUAUUGGGUUUAAAGGGUGCGUAGGCGGCUUUGUAAGUCAGUGGUGAAAUAUGGCAGCUCAACUGUCAAGGUGCCAUUGAUACUGCGGAGCUUGAGUACAGAUGAGGUAGGCGGAAUUUGACGGUGUAGCGGUGAAAUGCUUAGAUAUCGUCAAGAACACCUAUAGCGAAGGCAGCUUACUAGGCUGUAACUGACGUGAGGCACGAAAAGUGUGGGGGGAUCAAAACAGG
rnacentral:rRNA from 1 species